GUGAGCGUAGCUCAAUGGUUAGAGCACUGGACUGUGGCUCCAGCGGUUGUGGGUUCGAGUCCCAUCGUUCACCCCA
rnacentral:tRNA from 2 species